rnacentral:lncRNA from 1 species
AGCAUUUCUAAUGAAUCAAUUCCAUGAUUUAGUCCGUGUUACCGUGGUUAUGACUGUUUUAUAUAGCUGCGAGUGACAACUAACAGCUUUAUAUCCCUCAGGUGUUUGGUUUCUGUACUAACAAGUAGCAAUUUGAUAUGGAUAUUCUAGCUGCAAAAGCGGCUAGAGCGAGGAGGAAAUUUAUACUACAACAGAAACGGAUUAAAUCCCGACAGAUUUCGACAGGUACCGAUUUCUGUUAUUGUAAUUUCUUUUUCUUAUUUGAUCAUCAGUUUUUUUUUUUUUGGCUUUGUAUAAAGGAUGAUUUCGAUUUUUAGAUCAAACAGUUUAAUUGGUCCAUUAGCCCCUGUAAUCCAUCCGUUCAAACGUAUAGGCAAAAAAAAAAAAAACAUUUACACUGAUACAGAAAAUUAGAACAAAGGAAAAUGAGAUAUAACUUUGCAUGUUCUUGGAAUGACUUUGUGAGAAGAUGUAAAAACAAUUUUGGUUGAUCCGUGCUCACGAGAAAAUAGAAUGGAUAUCAAAUUUAAAGAAAAUAUGUUUUUUGUGUGCUGUUAAAUUUGGACGGGUGUAGUGAUUUGUUAAGACCAGAAUCAAUUUUGCAAUCUGGAAGUUACUGUCAAACGAUAUUGUGUACAACAGAAGCCGGUUGCUAAAAAUUCCAGGUAAUUAUAAUUUCGUUGUUGAAGUUAUUAAAAAUUGUCUUCGUCUUUGUUUACCCAACUAAUUUUUUUUUUUUUUUUUGUAGAUUUGCGGAUUACUGAUGAUGAUUUGAAGAACUUAUGUCUCAUUGAAAUUGAUAUGCUCCUGCAAACUAAUAGAAAGUCCCUUGAUAAGUACAAGAGAAUGCCUCAGCCUAGGUAUGAAAUAGCUCCUCAGUAUAGUAACAGGUUCAUCGCAGAUCAGAUGUGCUACGAUAAGGAUGAAAUGGAAAAAAUUCAUAUUCAGUUGUCCAACCUUCUUUCAGAUGAACAGAUGGUUGUUUACAAUCAGAUUGUUGAUUCCGUUGAGUCUGGGACCAGAGGUUUUUUCUUUUUGUACGGUUAUGGUGGAACUGGAAAAACAUUUAUUUGGAAGACACUAUCUGCUGGACUACGUGCAAAGGGGUACAUUGUCGUAUGUGCGACAUCGAGUGGCAUAGCUUCCUUGCUACUUCCAGGUGGCCGUACAACCCAUUCAUCAUUGAGUAUACCUUUUAUUAUCAAUGAAGCGUCAAAUUGUACCUUUGAUAAACAGAGCGAUAAAGCUGCUAUGUUUAGAAAGGCAAAAUUAAUAAUAUGAGAUGAGGCACCGAUGAAUGAUGAUGCAUCGUCAUUGUAUUGAAGCGUUUGACCGAACCAUGCGCGAUAUAAUGUCUUAUGAUGGUGUCGAUAAUACAGACAAACUAUUUGGGGGAGUUAUUGUCGUUUUGGGCGGUGAUUUCAGACAAAUUUUGCCAGUGAUCAGAAGAGGUAACAGUUGCUUCGUCCGUCAACUCAUCAAAGUUGUGGAGUCACUGUAAGGUUCUCACACUUACAACAAAUAUGCGUUUACGUUCUUCAACUGUUCGUUCUGAACGAGAUGAGAUUGGAAAGUUUGCCGAGUGGAUACUUUCGAUUGGAGAUGGAAUAGGAUCUGCCAACGAGAGUGGAGAAAUCAACGUACCCAUUCCUGAUGAGUUGCUGAUAAAAGAUUCAUCUGAUCCAUUGCGUUCUCUGGUUGAUUUUGUACAUCCGGAUUUUUUGCAGAACAUGAAGAUCUCCAAUUUUUUCGAAAAGCGAGGGAUAUUUGCUCCCACACUGGAAGUUGUUGACUAGGUAAACGAAUUCCUUCUGUCAUUGGUUCCAGGAGACGAAAAGGAAUAUAUUAGUUCUGAUUCGGUCUGCAAAUCAGAUGAUAAUAGUGAGGUACAAAGCGAAU